CCUACGGGAGGCAGCAGUGGGGGAUAUUGCACAAUGGGGGGAACCCUGAUGCAGCGACGCCGCGUGGGUGAAGGAGCGUUUCGGCGCGUAAAGCCCUAUUGGCAGGGAAGAAGAUGACGGUACCUGACCAUGAAGCCCCGGCUACAUACGUGCCAGCAGCCGCGGUAAUACGUAGGGGGCAAGCGUUAUCCGGAUUUACUGGGUGUAAUGGGGGCGCAGACGGCAAUGCAAGCCAGAGGUGAAAGCCCGGGGCCCAACCCCGGGACUGCGCUUGGAACUGCAUGGCUUGAGUACAGGAGGGGCAGGCGGAAUUCCGAGUGUAGCGGUGAAAUGCGUAGAUAUUAGGAGGAACACCGGGGGCGAAGGCGGCCUGCUGGACUGUGACUGACGUUGAGGCCCGAAGGCGUGGGGAGCAAACAGGAUUAGAUACCCCGGUAGUC
rnacentral:rRNA from 1 species